GGUGGGGGAGAGGUGAGUUGGCCAAGGGAGUCCAACCAGAGCCCCCCAGCAUGACCUCUGGUAAAAGACGGGGAGUACCCGCGAUUCCCUUAGCCCGUGGCUUUACACAUCCCCAUCCCAGGACAGGAGGGAAAGAUGAGGGACACACAAAUAAUAAUUGUGGGCCUCUGGAAUGUCCUAAGAACCGAAGUAAAGUGUAUGAACAUCUUGGAUGUUGUAACUAUGGGAUCCUGCUUAAACUUGGAAUUCCUGUUUAGCCGCUAGUAUCUCCAUGAAUAGGUGUAUCUAGCUGGACCAAGAAAUGGAGCUUCACAUGAAGAGCUUCUAUAACAGCAAUAAUAACAGUGACCAUUUGCUGAGCAGUUAUAAGGCACUGGAAAUAUGGCUUAUGAGCCCUUCAUACCUAUUAUCCCACUUUAUCCUCCCCACAACCUAGUAAGAUCCAUAGUACUGUUAUUUCCACUGCAAUCAUGUAAUAUUGUUAUAUAAUAAAAUGUUUAGAGUACCUGCA